rnacentral:antisense_RNA from 1 species
AACACUGAGGCACAGAGAUUAUACCAGCUGGGCUAGUGAGUGACUGGGGGAAGCCUCCAGAUCCAUGCACACAACCGCCAGGUUUAUGACACCUCUAGAAAUGUGACCAGUGCCCCUGGGGUCUAUCAGCAUCUCUUGCUAGACCAGUAGAGCCCUAAAACAGAAGCCAACAGUCUCCCAGCAAAAUGUUGCAUGCAGCAAAGUCUCAGGAAUGGACAGACUGGCAGGCAAGACACAGCAAGAAGGCAGCAGUCUGCACACCAGGAGGAGAGUCCUCACCAGAACCCAGCCCUGCCACACCCUGAUCCUUGACUUUCAGCCUCCAGAGCUGUGAGAAAUAAAUGCCUGUUGUUUAAGCA